rnacentral:rRNA from 1 species
AGAGUUUGAUCCUGGCUCAGGAUGAACGCUAGCUACAGGCUUAACACAUGCAAGUCGAGGGGCAUCGCGGUGCAGCAAUGCACUGGCGGCGACCGGCGCACGGGUGAGUAACGCGUAUCCGACCUGGCCUUCACUCGGGUAUAGCCCCUCGAAAGAGGGAUUAAUCCCCGAUAUGUGGUAGAGUUACAUGGCACUUCCACGAAAGCGUAACGGUGAAGGAUGGGGAUGCGUCCCAUUAGGUUGUUGGCGGGGUAACGGCCCACCAAGCCGACGAUGGGUAGGGGUACUGAGAGGUAGGUCCCCCACAUUGGAACUGAGACACGGUCCAAACUCCUACGGGAGGCAGCAGUGAGGAAUAUUGGUCAAUGGGCGAGAGCCUGAACCAGCCAAGUAGCGUGAAGGAUGACUGCCCUAUGGGUUGUAAACUUCUUUUGUGCGGGGGUAAAGUGGUCCACGCGUGGUCCAUUGCAAGUACCGUACGAAUAAGCAUCGGCUAACUCCGUGCCAGCAGCCGCGGUAAUACGGAGGAUGCGAGCGUUAUCCGGAUUUAUUGGGUUUAAAGGGAGCGUAGGCGGGCGAUUAAGUCAGCGGUUAAAUAGUGUGGCUCAACCAUGCCUUGCCGUUGAUACUGGUUGUCUUGAGAGUACUAGAGGUGGAUGGAAUUUAGGGUGUAGCGGUGAAAUGCUUAGAUAUCCUAAAGAACUCCGAUUGCGAAGGCAGUCCACUGGGGUACGUCUGACGCUGAAGCUCGAAAGUGCGGGUAUCAAACAGGAUUAGAUACCCUGGUAGUCCGCACAGUAAACGAUGAUUACUCGCUGUUGGCGACAGACAGUCAGCGGCCAAGCGAAAGCAAUAAGUAAUCCACCUGGGGAGUACGCCGGCAACGGUGAAACUCAAAGGAAUUGACGGGGGCCCGCACAAGCGGAGGAACAUGUGGUUUAAUUCGAUGAUACGCGAGGAACCUUACCCGGGCUCGAACGGAUGGUGAAGAGAUCCAGAGAUGGUGACGCCCUUCGGGGCACCAUUCGAGGUGCUGCAUGGUUGUCGUCAGCUCGUGCCGUGAGGUGUCGGCUUAAGUGCCAUAACGAGCGCAACCCUUGUCGUCAGUUGCCAUCAGGUUAUGCUGGGGACUCUGGCGAGACUGCCACCGCAAGGCGUGAGGAGGGGGGGGGAUGACGUCAAAUCAGCACGGCCCUUACGUCCGGGGCGACACACGUGUUACAAUGGUGGGCACAGAGGGGUGCUACCUGGCGACAGGAUGCAAAUCUCGAAAACCCAUCCCAGUUCGGACUGGAGUCUGCAACCCGACUCCACGAAGUUGGAUUCGCUAGUAAUCGCGCAUCAGCCAUGGCGCGGUGAAUACGUUCCCGGGCCUUGUACACACCGCCC